AUGUAUGUGUGUAUGUAUGUAUGUCGGUGUCUGUAUGUAUGUAUGUGUCUUUAUGUCCUCAUGCAUGUGUGUCUGUAUGUAUGUUAGUAUGUGUCUGUCUGUCACUAUGUAUGCCUGUGUGUAUGUCUCAGUAUGUGUGUGUCAGUAUGUAUGCCUGUAUGCGUGUAUGUCUGUUUCAGUAUGUGUGUCUGUUAGUAUGUCUG